rnacentral:misc_RNA from 1 species
AAAAAAAAAAAGGGAAAAAAAAAAUAAAAGUUACUCCCCAGCCAUUGUUUGAUAGGGAAUGCGAUUUUUGCACUUCUGAGAAGGAUUGUUCGCUUAAAAUACGCAGAUACAGGAUGAGGUCGCUGCUUUUCAAAUUAGGGUUAUUCCUAUAUUUGCUUUCGUUAAAUCUAAUCCCUUCGCAAUCAGCCGUAUCGAGCAUAGAUCUAGGCGCAGAAUGGAUGAAAGUAGCUGUUGUGAAUCUAAAACCAGGGCAAAGCCCAAUUUCGAUUGCAAUCAACGAGAUGUC